CCUGCAGAGGAAGCACUACCUUGUUGUAGGGCUGGACCUGGCCCAGAUUUCUAGGGAACAUUCUGGAACAGCUGGCAGGGCUGACCAGAUGCAUCUAAAUGCAGCCAGUGUACAAGGCCCUGAGGAAAAUGGACGCAAAUACUUUUCAACUUAGUUUUUUGGUCAACCACUAACAUGGACUUGCUGCAGAUAACUUAGAUAAUGCUGGUAAGUAAAAAGAAGAAAAAAACAAACCAGCCCAUAAUGCUUGGUUGUCUAUCCUUCUAAAGGAAAAAUGCAUAUUUUUUAAUAAAA
rnacentral:lncRNA from 1 species